GAUGAAUGCUGGCGGCGUGCCUAAUACAUGCAAGUCGAGCGGUAAGGCCCUUCGGGUACACGAGCGGCGGAUGGCUGAGUAACGCGUGGGAACAUGCCCCAAAGUGAGGGAUAACGCACCGAAAGGUGUGCUAAUACCGCAUAUGGUCUUCGGAUUAAAGGAUUUAUCCGCUUUGGGAGUGGCCCGCGUACGAUUAGAUUGUUGGUGAGGUAACGGCUCACCAAGUCGACGAUCGUUAACUGGUCUGAGAGGAUGAUCAGUCAGACUGGAACUGAGACACGGUCCAGACUCCUACGGGAGGCAGCAGUAAGGAAUCUUCCACAAUGGGCGAAAGCCUGAUGGAGCAACGCCGCGUGCAGGAUGAAGGCCCUCGGGUCGGUAAACUGCUUUAUGAGUGAAGAAUAUGACGGUAACUCAUGAAUAAGCACCGGCUAACUACGUGCCAGCAGCCG
rnacentral:rRNA from 1 species